rnacentral:rRNA from 1 species
GACGAACGCUGGCGGCGUGCUUAACACAUGCCAGUCGAACGGAAAGGCCUCUUUCGGGGGGUACUCGAGUGGCGAACGGGUGAGUAACACGUGAGUAACCUGCCCUUGUCUUUGGGAUAACUUCAGUCAACUGGGGCUAAUACCGGAUAGAAGCUCCUUCUGCAUGGUGGGGGUUGGAAAGUUUCGGCGGCUGGGGGUGGACUCGCGGCGUAUCAGCUUGUUGUUGGAUUAGUGGCUUACCAAGGCGUUGCCGGGUAGCCGGACUGUGAGGGUGAGAGGCCACAUUGAGACUGAGGUACGGCCCAGACAGCUACGGGAGGGAGCAGUGGGGAAGAUUGAACAAGGGGUGGAAGCCGGAUGCAGCAACGCCGUGUGCGGGAUGACGGCCUUAGGGUUGUAAACCGCAUUCGCUCAUGACGAAGCUUUGUGUGACGGUAGUGGGUAAAGAAGCACCGGCUAACUACGUG